CGGACCCCGGUCCGCGGGGGCAGAAAGUUGUGCUCGACCAGGGCCACUCCGGCCACCCCCACCCUCCCAGACUCCGCCCCAGCGGCCCCAGCGGCCCCAGCCUGAGCCAUCCAUGCAGAGAAGGACGCAGCCUCCACAGUCAGAUGCAGAAACUGAGGCAUGGAGUUCGCAUGACUGCUCAGGGCCACUCAAGACAAUAAAGCCCAGUUCUCCUGACUCCGUAUAACUCACAAGCCACCCACCCCUUCAUCCCGGUGUCCCCUCCUCGGAUUCCCAGUGCCUGUCGGGGGACGAGUUCCUCAGAGGCCUUGAGGAAGGGAGAAGCUGGAAGACAUACACUGGGGUUCGAGUGCGGCUCCUUCCAGAUGCCGAGGGACUCAGACAAGAGCUGUGGCAUCAUCAAAACCUUCUGUGAACCCCUGAUUCCUAAGGCAUUAAAAGUGAUAGC